rnacentral:rRNA from 1 species
AAGAGUUUGAUCAUGGCUCAGAUUGAACGCUGGCGGCAGGCCUAACACAUGCAAGUCGAACGGUAACAGGAAGCAGCUUGCUGCUUUGCUGACGAGUGGCGGACGGGUGAGUAAUGUCUGGGAAACUGCCUGAUGGAGGGGGAUAACUACUGGAAACGGUAGCUAAUACCGCAUAACGUCGCAAGACCAAAGAGGGGGACCUUAGGGCCUCUUGCCAUCGGAUGUGCCCAGAUGGGAUUAGCUAGUAGGUGGGGUAAAGGCUCACCUAGGCGACGAUCCCUAGCUGGUCUGAGAGGAUGACCAGCCACACUGGAACUGAGACACGGUCCAGACUCCUACGGGAGGCAGCAGUGGGGAAUAUUGCACAAUGGGCGCAAGCCUGAUGCAGCCAUGCCGCGUGUAUGAAGAAGGCCUUCGGGUUGUAAAGUACUUUCAGCGGGGAGGAAGGGAGUAAAGUUAAUACCUUUGCUCAUUGACGUUACCCGCAGAAGAAGCACCGGCUAACUCCGUGCCAGCAGCCGCGGUAAUACGGAGGGUGCAAGCGUUAAUCGGAAUUACUGGGCGUAAAGCGCACGCAGGCGGUUUGUUAAGUCAGAUGUGAAAUCCCCGGGCUCAACCUGGGAACUGCAUCUGAUACUGGCAAGCUUGAGUCUCGUAGAGGGGGGUAGAAUUCCAGGUGUAGCGGUGAAAUGCGUAGAGAUCUGGAGGAAUACCGGUGGCGAAGGCGGCCCCCUGGACGAAGACUGACGCUCAGGUGCGAAAGCGUGGGGAGCAAACAGGAUUAGAUACCCUGGUAGUCCACGCCGUAAACGAUGUCGACUUGGAGGUUGUGCCCUUGAGGCGUGGCUUCCGGAGCUAACGCGUUAAGUCGACCGCCUGGGGAGUACGGCCGCAAGGUUAAAACUCAAAUGAAUUGACGGGGGCCCGCACAAGCGGUGGAGCAUGUGGUUUAAUUCGAUGCAACGCGAAGAACCUUACCUGGUCUUGACAUCCACGGAAGUUUUCAGAGAUGAGAAUGUGCCUUCGGGAACCGUGAGACAGGUGCUGCAUGGCUGUCGUCAGCUCGUGUUGUGAAAUGUUGGGUUAAGUCCCGCAACGAGCGCAACCCUUAUCCUUUGUUGCCAGCGGUCCGGCCGGGAACUCAAAGGAGACUGCCAGUGAUAAACUGGAGGAAGGUGGGGAUGACGUCAAGUCAUCAUGGCCCUUACGACCAGGGCUACACACGUGCUACAAUGGCGCAUACAAAGAGAAGCGACCUCGCGAGAGCAAGCGGACCUCAUAAAGUGCGUCGUAGUCCGGAUUGGAGUCUGCAACUCGACUCCAUGAAGUCGGAAUCGCUAGUAAUCGUGGAUCAGAAUGCCACGGUGAAUACGUUCCCGGGCCUUGUACACACCGCCCGUCACACCAUGGGAGUGGGUUGCAAAAGAAGUAGGUAGCUUAACCUUCGGGAGGGCGCUUACCACUUUGUGAUUCAUGACUGGGGUGAAGUCGUAACAAGGUAACCGUAGGGGAACCUGCGGUUGGAUCACCUCCUUACCUUAAAGAAGC